AAACCCAAAGGCGUAAUGAAAGUGAAGCUGGGCGGCGCGGUUGACCACCGCGGCCGCCCCGGUGAGGGAGGAUGGCACGGGGCNCGCGCCCUCGCGGGGCGUCGCUUACUCCGGCCCGCACUCCCGGGGCGUCGUUGACGGCGCACCUAGAGCGCACACGUUGGUACCCGAAAGAUGGUGAACUAUGCCUGGCCAGGACGAAGCCAGGGGAAACCCUGGUGGAGGUCCGUAGCGAUUCUGACGUGCAAAUCGAUCGUCUGAGCUGGGUAUAGGGGCGAAAGACUAAUCGAACCAUCUAGUAGCUGGUUCCCUCCGAAGUUUCCCUCAGGAUAGCUGGCACUCGGAGGCAAGAAAGAAAUGAACAACCGAAUCUCAUUCGGUAAAGCGAAUGAUUAGAGGCCUUAGGGUCGAAACGGCCUUAACCUAUUCUCAAACUUUAAAUGGGUGAGAACGCCGGCAUCCUCAAAGAACUUUAAUGGGCGUGAUGCCGGCGNNGGAUCGUGAGUGUCCAGUGGGCCAUUUUUGGUAAGCAGAACUGGCGCUGUGGGAUGAACCAAACGUAGAGUUAAGGCGCCUAAACCGACGCUUAUGGGAUACC
rnacentral:rRNA from 1 species